UGAGACGUGAGCAAGGCUGGUGCUGGGGCUUCUUCUCCUGAAGGGGCUGCAAGAGGGAAGACUUAGCCAUGUCGUCCUUGAUCAAAACGGUGAUCAGCACCGCGAAAGCCCCAGGGGUCAUUGGACCCUACAGUCAAGCUGUGUUAGUCGACAAGACCAUUCACAUUUCAGGACAGAUAGGCAUGGACCCUUUAAGUGGACAGCUUGUGUCAGGAGGGGUAGCAGAAGAAGCUAAACAAGCUCUUAAAAACAUGGGUGAAAUUCUGAAAGCUGCAGGCUGUGACUUCACUAAUGUGGUGAAAACAACCGUUCUUCUGGCUGACAUAAAUGACUUCAAUACUAUCAAUGAAAUCUACAAACAGUAUUUCAAGAGUAAUUUUCCUGCUAGAGCUGCUUACCAAGUUGCUGCUUUGCCCAAAGGUAGCCGAAUUGAAAUUGAAGCACUGCACUGGAUUGUCAACUAUGAAUUUCCUCAGCACUUGUCAGCUGAGCUCAGUUACCAGGGUUUCUGCAGAGACUGGCUCCACCUGCUUUUCUGCACCAAGAUGUUGACAACUUCUCUGUUUUUCCUUCUUGGAGCCAUCUCAACCCUCUUUGGUGGUAAGAAGGAGAUGAAGACGUCAGUCAGGUAG